AGCCGUUCGAUUUCGUAUUCCCAUUGUCAUUUCGUCCAAAAGACUAUUGAUUCACCUAGGGUAUCUGUGUUACAAAUGACCUUCUACCGUUGUCGUAGAAACCUCUCAUUUGAUUUUAAAAUGACCCUCGUGAGAAACACCACGGGUGUCUUGCAAGAAGCAGGACCUGCUUACCUUCGGAGCACCGGAGGUCGCCACAUUUUUUCGGGGUCCGUGUUUUUCAUCUGUAGUUAGUUUUCAAUGUUGAAAGUUUUUGCUUGUCAUUUUGUGUCUUAUCUGUUUCCCGGGUUUCCAAAUUACGAAACCCACUAGGAUGUUACUAUCGUUUCUUGAAAUAUGGUAUAGUAAGAAACAGAUAGGGUAUUUAUCAUUUUCAUCAUAAAAUGGUCCAAAAAAAAUUUCGCCUCGCUCCACUCGGCGAUAUAUGCUUGCACUUUAUUUCAACUCAGCUACGCCCCUGACACGAACAAAGAAAAAAACAAACAAAUACUGAAACGUUUCACUAUCGAUCAAAAAUCCGGAA
rnacentral:lncRNA from 1 species